rnacentral:tRNA from 1 species
CGGGGUGUAGCACAGCCUGGUAGUGCGCUGGUUUUGGGAACCAGAAGUCGGGGGUUCGAAUCCCUCCACCCCGA